UACGUAGGGUGCAAGCGUUAAUCGGAAUUACUGGGCGUAAAGCGUGCGCAGGCGGCUAUGCAAGACAGAUGUGAAAUCCCCGGGCUCAACCUGGGAACUGCAUUUGUGACUGCAUGGCUAGAGUACGGUAGAGGGGGAUGGAAUUCCGCGUGUAGCAGUGAAAUGCGUAGAUAUGCGGAGGAACACCGAUGGCGAAGGCAAUCCCC
rnacentral:rRNA from 1 species